UACGUAGGGGGCGAGCGUUGUCCGGAUUUAUUGGGCGUAAAGAGCUCGUAGGCGGUUUGGCAAGUCGGGUGUGAAAACUCCGGGCUCAACUCGGAGACGCCACUCGAUACUGCUAUGACUCGAGUCCGGUAGGGGAGUGCGGAAUUCCUGGUGUAGCGGUGAAAUGCGCAGAUAUCAGGAGGAACACCGGUGGCGAAGGCGGCACUCUGGGGCCGGUACUGACGCUGAGGGAGCGAAAAGCGUGGGGGAGCGAACAGG
rnacentral:rRNA from 1 species